GUCCAGACUCCUACGGGAGGCAGCAGUGGGGAAUAUUGCACAAUGGGGGAAACCCUGAUGCAGCGACGCCGCGUGAGUGAAGAAGUAUUUCGGUAUGUAAAGCUCUAUCAGCAGGAAAGAGAAUGACGGUACCUGACUAAGAAGCCCCGGCUAACUACGUGCCAGCAGCCGCGGUAAUACGUAGGGGGCAAGCGUUAUCCGGAUUUACUGGGUGUAAAGGGAGCGUAGACGGUGAAGCAAGUCUGAAGUGAAAGGCGGGGGCUCAACCCCCGGACUGCUUUGGAAACUGUUUGACUGGAGUGCAGGAGAGGUAAGUGGAAUUCCUAGUGUAGCGGUGAAAUGCGUAGAUAUUAGGAGGAACACCAGUGGCGAAGGCGGUCUGCUGGACAGCAACUGACGGUGAGGCGCGAAAGCGUGGGGAGCAAACAGGAUUAGAUACCCUGGUACC
rnacentral:rRNA from 1 species